rnacentral:lncRNA from 1 species
GCUUAGAGAAUAACAAUUUGUGGUAGUUAUUAAUCUAUCACCUUUAACUGUGUGCAUUAAAUUAAAAUUGAGGCAGGAGCUCAGAACAAUGGCCUUUAUGACACCCUGUGCCUCUGUGAUGUGAAUCUAGGUGCCAGCACAGCCAGGAGUCCAGAGGUGCAUGUGUGGUGGGGGUGUCGUGGGGCAAUUGCAGGUGCCCACUUUAUCAUUCUCCUGCCAAGUUUGGGGGGCUGGGGUGGGUGCUGGAGGCUAGCUCCACGAGGUUCUGCCUCUUGCCAAUCUGCUGCUGAGGUCGCAAGGCUGGAAUGGGAGCUGCAGGCUAGCUCCAUAUGGUUCUGCUUCUUGCCUGUCUGCUGUCAAAGUUGGGAAGCUGGGAAGGGAAGAGGGGAUUGGUGAAACACAGAGCCUUGGAUGAAGGGGUCCUACAAGGUCUGCAUCCCAUACCACGGAGCACCACCUUGCUGAAAAGAUCUGAAGGGAAUUUGGAAAAAAAGGAGCCUGGAAUCAACUGCUGCUGCUAGGUUGGGAGACAUUGCCUAGGUGACACUGGCAGGAAAUGUAAGCAAACAACAAAUGGCAAAUCCUUUCUUCUUCUGCUAGCCAUUCAGUCUGCUCUAACGUCCUUUACAUGGAGAU